AUUCUUCUGAUUUCAUCAAAAAAGUGAUGAUUGGUUUAAUCACAUUUGUUUGUGAAAUGUGCUACCAAAUUACUUGUUACGUUGCAGCACAUUGACCAUCUGAUU